rnacentral:rRNA from 1 species
CCUACGGGAGGCAGCAGUGAGGAAUAUUGGUCAAUGGGCGCGAGCCUGAACCAGCCAAGUCGCGUGAGGGAAGACGGUCCUAUGGAUUGUAAACCUCUUUUGUCGGGGAGCAAAAGACGCCACGCGUGGCGUUCCGAGAGUACCCGUAGAAAAAGCAUCGGCUAAAUCCGUGCCAGCAGCCGCGGUAAUCCGGAGGAUGCGAGCGUUAUCCGGAUUUAUUGGGUUUUAAGGGUGCGCAGGCGGAAGAUCAAGUCAGCGGUAAAAUUGAGGGGCUCAACCUCUUCGAGCCGUUGAAACUGGUGUUCUUGAGUGGGCGAGAAGUAUGCGGAAUGCGUGGUGUAGCGGUGAAAUGCAUAGAUAUCACGCAGAACUCCGAUUGCGAAGGCAGCAUACCGGCGCUCAACUGACGCUGAUGCACGAAAGUGUGGGUAUCGAACAGGAUUAGAUACCCGUGUAGUC